rnacentral:rRNA from 1 species
UACAGAGGGGGCAAGCGUUGUUCGGAAUUACUGGGCGUAAAGGGCGCGUAGGCGGCCUUCUAAGUCGAACGUGAAAUCCCUGGGCUCAACCCAGGAACUGCGUCCGAUACUGGAUGGCUUGAAUCCGGGAGAGGGAUGCAGAAUUCCAGGUGUAGCGGUGAAAUGCGUAGAUAUCUGGAGGAAUACCGGUGGCGAAGGCGGCAUCCUGGACCGGCAUUGACGCUGAGGAGCGAAAGCCAGGGGAGCAAACGGG